GGAGGCACAGCUCAAGGGUAGAGCACGUGCUUAGCAUGUAAGAGGCCCUGGGUUCAAGCUCCAGUACCUCCA
rnacentral:tRNA from 1 species